UACAGAGGGUGCAAGCGUUAAUCGGAAUUACUGGGCGUAAAGCGUGCGUAGUCGGCUUUUCAAGUCGGGUGUGAAAGCCCCGGGCUCAACCUGGGAAUUGCAUUCGAUACUGGAUAGCUAGAGUUCGGCAGAGGGAAGUGGAAUUUCAGGUGUAGCGGUGAAAUGCGUAGAUAUCUGAAGGAACAUCAGUGGCGAAAGCGACUUCCUGGACCAGAGCUGACACUGAGGCGCGAAAGCGUGGGGAGCAAACAGG
rnacentral:rRNA from 1 species